GUAAAUAUAGUUUAACUAAAACAUUAGAUUGUGAAUCUAAUAACAAAAGCUCAACCCUUUUUAUUUACC
rnacentral:tRNA from 1 species